GCGGGGGUCCCCUAGUCCGGUCAAUGGGGCAAGGUUGAGGGCCUUGUUGCUUAGUGCAUUCGCAAGUUCAAAUCUUGCCCCCCGCA
rnacentral:tRNA from 1 species